UACGAAGGGUGCAAGCGUUACUCGGAAUUACUGGGCGUAAAGCGUGCGUAGGUGGUUUGUUAAGUCUGUUGUGAAAGCCCCGGGCUCAACCUGGGAAUGGCAAUGGAUACUGGCAGGCUAGAGUGCGGUAGAGGGUAGUGGAAUUCCCGGUGUAGCGGUGAAAUGCGUAGAGAUCGGGAGGAACACCGGUGGCGAAGGCGGUUCUCUGGGCCUGUACUGACGCUGAGGAGCGAAAGCGUGGGGAGCGAACAGG
rnacentral:rRNA from 1 species